UGAUGAUGAUGGUCUGGAACAACAAUCUGCAUUACAUAAAAUGUUGAAUUUUUUAGUGUUUUUUUUUUAUUUUUGGACAAAUUUACCCCUCAUGUUGGGAGGCAGUGAGUAUUAAAGAUAGUGUUGGAUCUUGCUACAUCGGCUAUGCAACUCGUGAAUCUACAUGGAAGAAAUAGUAACUUACAUCAUUUCAUUCUGUUAUGCCCCAACCACCUGCCAUACACACACAAACUUGCUAUCUGCUAUUAGGUGGAAGGUAAAAGCAAAAAAAAUGAAAUAAGGGAUAAAGGGGUUGCAUAGAUAUGAAAAUAGUUGUAAUAAGUUAAGCAUAAAUAAUUUGCAAACAUGUAAAUGGAAAAAGAUUUUGAAGGGGCCACAAUAUUAAAAAAAGCCCAUGAUUAAUUCAAAAUUUCUAAGCAGAAACGUUAAAAAUAGCAUUGAUAUCGCUUUAAAUUAGAUUAAACAUCUAAUGUUAUUUGUACGACAUAAGCCAAUAGAGCAUGAAUUUGAGUCGUAUUGACAUGAGAAGAGUUAAAGUCGCUACCUUUUUGCAGUUACCAUCUAGUGUUUUAAUGGAUUUUAGUAUUAGGAUCCCUCAACAAAUGAUUAUGUUUGUUUGAUCUUGAAUGGGGGUUGCGUUUGAAUAACUUGGUACACGUGAAAAUAUCGAUUUCCAUGAUUACAUUAUUAAGCAUUCAAAUCUGUAACACUUAAAAGAAGCAAAUAGAAGAAACAGAAAUAGCAAAAAUAUUCAUAUUGGUUUUUCUCAGAUAACACUCUGGCAAAGUCCCAUCCAAAAGUGCUCACAGCUAUACUUAUUACUGAAAUACCUACAAUAUAUACAUACAAAAGGGGAUUGUAAAAGAAAAGACUUUUCCACCUUAAAGUCACUCAUACAGUCCUGUUUUGCUUACUCCACUUCAAACAAUUCCUACAGUGGGACAAAAAACAAAUCAUAUUUCUAUAAUAUGUUUCUAAAAGAAGAUAAAACAAAAAUUAGGAUAUACAUAAACAUAGUUACACACACAAAUAAACACACCUGCACACAAAAAUACACAUACAUACAUACUUGCACACAUAGAUACACAUCAACCUACGAAAAUCAAAACAAAACUCCAAAUUAAAGCAACUAAAUUAAAAUAUCAUUAGUAAAACAUGGAUGUGAUUAAUAGAGAAGAAGAAGUAACAUAGGCAGAUUUCUAGUCCUUCCCUUCAUAGGCAUCCUAGACCACCAUGAUCUGCUCUCUCCACUUAUCUACUGAUCGAAAAUCAAACAACACAAAUCAAUAAUUUUUCUGAUUAAAGAAUCUAUACGUGUCAAUUUUUACUAUUUUUUCUCUAUGGAGUUGGAGAUGUGCUGGAGAUUUGAUGUAUCUGAAGAAAAUCUGAUGAAUUCUCCGGGGGUGGUGAAUGGUUCAGUGGGUGGCGGUGACGGUGAAAGUAACAACGACAGUAAUUAGGGUGGGGCUAGGGUUUUCAGUAAGAAUUCUAGAUAGUUAAACAAAGGGACCGAUGAUGGAGAAGUGAGAAGUGGUAGUGGGGAUUUUGAGAACAUAGUGCUUCUAUGGUGGCGGUGAAGGAGAAGAUGGUCAUUGAAGGUGUCAUGGUGAAAGCUGCAAAUGGUAGUGGCAGUCGAAGCAACAACAGCGACGAACAAAGCAGAAGGUGGGCUUCUAGGGCUUCGAUCUGACCUUGAAUCGAAACAAUCUGCAAGUCGAAGGAAUAUAAGGAGACGGGGCCGAGAUAAUUGGGAUUUAAGUUUGAAUCUAACUAAAA
rnacentral:lncRNA from 1 species